rnacentral:rRNA from 1 species
GACGAACGCUGGCGGCGUGCCUAACACAUGCAAGUCGAGCGGAGACAGUGAGUAGCUUGCUAUGAGCUGUUUUAGCGGCGGACGGGUGAGUAACGCGUGAGCAACCUUUCCCAGACAGGGGGAAUAACCACACCGAAAGGUGUACUAAUACCGCAUAAGACCACGGGAUCACAUGGUUCUGAGGUAAAAGAUUUAUCGGUUUGGGGUGGGCUCGCGUCCGAUUAGGUAGUUGGUGAGGUAACGGCCCACCAAGCCGACGAUCGGUAGCCGACCUGAGAGGGUGAUCGGCCACAUUGGGACUGAGACACGGCCCAAACUCCUACGGGAGGCAGCACGUGGGGAAUAUUGGGCAAUGGAGGAAACUCUGACCCAGCAACGCCGCGUGGAGGAAGAAGGUUUUCGGAUCGUAAACUCCUGUCCUUGGAGACGAGUAGAAGACCGGUAUCCCAAGGAGGAAAGCCCCGGGCUAACUACGUG